AGAAACACAGGACUGAACUUCUUCUGUGAGUUGAUGGAACCAAUUGAAGGUUGGUUUGGUUAUUGACAGCCUGAGAAACUAAUCGAAGAAAG